rnacentral:rRNA from 1 species
UACGUAGGGGGCAAGCGUUGUCCGGAUUUAUUGGGCGUAAAGAGCUCGUAGGCGGUUUGGUAAGUCUGGUGUGAAAUCUCCACGCUCAACGUGGAGGGGCCACCCGAUACUGCCAUGACUGGAGUCCGGUAGAGGAGUGUGGAAUUCCCGGUGUAGCGGUGAAAUGCGUAGAGAUCGGGAGGAACACCAGUGGCGAAGGCGGCCUUCUGGACCAAUACUGACGCUCAUGCACGAAAGCGUGGGGAGCAAACAGG